rnacentral:rRNA from 1 species
UACGUAGGGUGCGAGCGUUAAUCGGAAUUACUGGGCGUAAAGCGUGCGCAGGCGGUUCGUUAUGUCCGAUGUGAAAGCCCCGAGCUCAACUUGGGAAUGGCAUUGGAAACUGGCGGGCUGGAGUGUGGCAGAGGGGGGUGGAAUUCCACGUGUAGCAGUGAAAUGCGUAGAGAUGUGGAGGAACACCGAUGGCGAAGGCAGCCCCCUGGGCCAACACUGACGCUCAGACACGAAAGCGUGGGGAGCAAACAGG